GACGAACGCUGGCGGCAUGCUUAACACAUGCAAGUCGAACGGAAAGGCCCUGCUUGUGUGGGGUGCUCGAGUGGCAAACGGGUGAGUAACACGUGAGUAACCUGCCCUUGACUUUGUGAUAACUUCAGGCAACUGGGGCUACUACCGGAUAGGAGCUCCUGCUGCAGGGUGGGGGUUGGAACGUUUCGGCGGUGGGGGAUGGACUCGCGGCUUGUCAGCUGGUUGGUGGGGUAGUGGCUUACCCGGGCUUUGGCGGGUAGCCGGCCUGAGAGGGUGACCGGGCACAUUGGGACUGAGAGACGGACCAGAGUCCUACGGGAGGCAGUAGUGGGGAAUCUUGCACAACGGGCGGAAGCGUGAUGCAGAAACGCCGCGUUCGGGAUGACGGCUUUCUGGUUGUAAACCGCUUUCGCCUGUGACGAAGCGUGAGUGACGGUAAUGGGUAAAGAAGCACCGGCUAACUACGUG
rnacentral:rRNA from 1 species